UGGGGAAUAUUGCACAAUGGGCGCAAGCCUGAUGCAGCCAUGCCGCGUGUGUGAAGAAGGCCUUCGGGUUGUAAAGCACUUUCAGCGAGGAGGAAGGUGGUGAGCUUAAUACGCUCAUCAAUUGACGUUACUCGCAGAAGAAGCACCGGCUAACUCCGUGCCAGCAGCCGCGGUAAUACGGAGGGUGCAAGCGUUAAUCGGAAUUACUGGGCGUAAAGCGCACGCAGGCGGUUUGUUAAGUCAGAUGUGAAAUCCCCGGGCUCAACCUGGGAACUGCAUUUGAAACUGGCAAGCUAGAGUCUCGUAGAGGGGGGUAGAAUUCCAGGUGUAGCGGUGAAAUGCGUAGAGAUCUGGAGGAAUACCGGUGGCGAAGGCGGCCCCCCUGGACGAAGACUGACGCUCAGGUGCGAAAGCGUGGGGCAGCAAACAGGAUUAGAUACCCUGGUAGUCCAGCGCUGUAAACGAUGUCGAUUUGGAGGUUGUGCCCUUGAGGCGUGGCUUCCGGAGCUAACGCGUUAAAUCGACCGCCUGGGGAGUACGGCCGCAAGGUUAAAACUCAAAUGAAUUGCGGGGUCUAGCUG
rnacentral:rRNA from 1 species